rnacentral:misc_RNA from 1 species
AAAAAAAUAGAAAGUUGUUGAGGAUAAGUUCAACUAUCUGAUGAAGUGGGUUUGAUGCCUUUGGCUUCAUGAUUGAUGACAAUAGAGCAAUUGCAAGAGUGCCUUUGUUUUAGGAAAGUAGAAAUGAUAGAAAAGGGGUUGAUGGUCAAAAUCAAACGUGUGAUGGUUGAGCAGGGAUGUAAGAACAUGGAGAAAAAUAGAAAGGGUGAGAGGAUUGUGCAUAGAAAGUGAAUAUGAGAGAAAACGGGAGAGAGAAUAAAAGCGAGAAGAUUAUAAAAUUUAGAGAGAAGAAUAUCUUUUAAUAUUUAUCUUUACAAAUCAGUAACAAUCUUAAAGAAUGUAUUAAAUAAUAAAAAAAUUUAAAAAUAGUAAAAUAAUACCUUUUGUCUUUAUUUUAUUAUCAAAAGGG